UACGUAGGGGGCAAGCGUUGUCCGGAUUUAUUGGGCGUAAAGCGCGUGUAGGCGGCCAGGUAGGUCCGCUGUGAAAACCCGAGGCUCAACCUCGGGACGUCGGCGGAAACCCUCUGGCUAGAGUCCGGAAGAGGAGAGUGGAAUUCCUGGUGUAGCGGUGAAAUGCGCAGAUAUCAGGAAGAACACCCGUGGCGAAGGCGGCUCUCUGGGACGGUACUGACGCUGAGACGCGAAAGCGUGGGGAGCAAACGGG
rnacentral:rRNA from 1 species